rnacentral:rRNA from 1 species
UGGCUCCUACUGAGCCAGCGGCGGAAGGGUGAGUAACACGUGGAUAACCUACCUAUAAGACUGGGAUAACUUCGGGAAACCGGAGCUAAUACCGGAUAAUAUAUUGAACCGCAUGGUUCAAUAGUGAAAGACGGUUUUGCUGUCACUUAUAGAUGGAUCCGCGCCGCAUUAGCUAGUUGGUAAGGUAACGGCUUACCAAGGCAACGAUGCGUAGCCGACCUGAGAGGGUGAUCGGCCACACUGGAACUGAGACACGGUCCAGACUCCUACGGGAGGCAGCAGUAGGGAAUCUUCCGCAAUGGGCGAAAGCCUGACGGAGCAACGCCGCGUGAGUGAUGAAGGUCUUCGGAUCGUAAAACUCUGUUAUUAGGGAAGAACAAAUGUGUAAGUAACUAUGCACGUCUUGACGGUACCUAAUCAGAAAGCCACGGCUAACUACGUGCCAGCAGCCGCGGUAAUACGUAGGUGGCAAGCGUUAUCCGGAAUUAUUGGGCGUAAAGCGCGCGUAGGCGGUUUUUUAAGUCUGAUGUGAAAGCCCACGGCUCAACCGUGGAGGGUCAUUGGAAACUGGAAAACUUGAGUGCAAAGAGGAAAGUGGAAUUCCAUGUGUAGCGGUGAAAUGCGCAGAGAUAUGGAGGAACACCAGUGGCGAAGGCGACUUUCUGGUCUGUAACUGACGCUGAUGUGCGAAAGCGUGGGGAUCAAACAGGAUUAAUACCCUGGUAUCCCCGCCGUAAACGAUGAUGCUAAUGUUAGGGGGUUUCCGCCCCUUAAUGCUGCAACUACGCAUAACACUCCGCCUGGGGAAUACAACGCAGUUGAAAUCAAGGAAUUGACGGGACCGCAAGCGGGGAGAUGGG